CGCCGUUUUCUUUCCUCGGAGAGGAUGCCGGAGGGGAAAAGGCGGCGGCGGCGGCGACUGCGCCUUUGCGCGCUCCUGGCAAGCUCUUGCCUUUCUUCCUGGAAAAGCCUCCCUUCGCCAAAGAGCCAAAGGCAGCUUGCGCAUCAGGGCUCCAGCCUGUUGUGUAGGUCUCAGCAUUGAAGAAAGAGGAAGCAAAAUCAUGUUGUUAUAUUUUAAAAACGUGGGUUUGGAGGCCCAGCGUGUCAAGAUCCCAAAGGACCUAAUAAGACUCAGACGGGAUGAAGGCAAAGAACUGAGGCAUUU
rnacentral:lncRNA from 1 species